AGUCGAGGUUCUGACAGAGCGUCGCAUGAGAUUACCGGGACAUGUUCUCAGACAAAAUGAACUACGCAUACCAACAGUUAUGAUGCCAUGGAGGCCAAUAAGAUGAAAGCGCAAACAGGGGCGUCCUCAUAUAACUUGGCGCCACACUUUCAUGGAGGAACUCAGAGCAGUGGGCACCAGGUAGAAAUGAUGAAUGAUGACAGAUAUGUCAACAUAAAAAGAGAUGAUGUCAACAAGGUGGAUGUCGCUGAGCUCCCCUUUAAAGGAGGUAGAUUUAGCUUGUACAUUGCUUUACCACAUGCAGUAGAUGGCAUCACUGACAUAG
rnacentral:sRNA from 1 species